UAGAUACAUUUCUUGCCAGCAGAUGGCAGUCGCAAGAAAGAAAACAACGUAAACAGCUUCGACAGUAUACAUGAUUGACGAGCUUUAGCAAUGUCACGAUCAAGCAAAGGAAGCCUUACGGAUUUUGAUUGGAAACUCAAAUUAGCAUUGGGGAGCAACAAAGUCAGUGCACUUAACGCUCCAAUCAUCGAAUUGACUUUACAUACCGAAAUGGACUCAGUCUCGGUAGAAAUGGACUCCCAUGGAUUAGAUAGUUUAAUACAGAAAAUCAGGGAAGCUCUUUCAAAAGCUACUGAUGAAGUCACUAACUGAAUUUCUAUAUUAUUGUUCCAAUAAAUCUAAUAUGUCCCCCAAAACAUCUGUAUAAAAGUCUGGCAUCAGAAUGUGUUGUUCAUCAUGUUUGUACUGUUCAAGAUGUUUCAAACUUGUAACACCAGAUAAAACUAGAAGUGUUGUUAAUUGGCAGUUUUUCCCAAAACUUAUAUCUGUAUUGCAUCUGUGAAAAAAAUCAAGCUUAUUGGUGAGGUGUCA